rnacentral:rRNA from 1 species
GGAGUUUGGGCCGUGUCUCAGUCCCAAUGUGGCCGUUCACCCUCUCAGGCCGGCUACUGAUCGUCGCCUUGGUGGGCCGUUACCUCACCAACUAGCUAAUCAGACGCGGGUCCAUCCUAUACCACCGGAGUUUUUCCUACUGUGUCAUGCGGCACCGUAGGCUUAUGCGGUAUUAGCAGUCGUUUCCAACUGUUAUCCCCCAGUAUAGGGCAGGUUACCCACGCGUUACUCACCCGUCCGCCACUAAGCUUUCGCAAGUGCAAGCACUCGCUAGGCUCCGUUCGACUUGCAUGUGUUAAGCACGCCGCCAGCGUUCAUC